GCACCAGAAGAGGCAGCCACCAAC
rnacentral:siRNA from 1 species